GUAUUAAACAGAGAAUAUUUUUAAUCAAGAAAGGCAAGAGAUACAGAUUCAAGUUUCACCAUGUAUAGAUUGUUCGAGACUGAUGCGCAAUUUAAUAAAAUCUAGGAAUAGAAUAUCUGUAUCGCGAUACACGUUUCAGCAUGUGUAGAUCGCUUUAAACGAAGCUAGUUGCCAAGCGCAUCAUUUGACGUUGACCAGGAAGCGUGCAACAAGCGGAGCUUGGAUCUAACGUGUGGAAGCGGGGGAUCUUUCCCGCCAAGGUCAAACAUUUUGAUCGAUACAGGCGGGGAAAACGGUGAACGGCGAGGCACGACGCAAAAUGAGUACACAACGUGCACCCACUGCCAUUAAUUAGGAUCACGGAACCGAAUUCGAUUUGUGCUGGUGCUCCACAAUCAACGAAUCGACAUUGAGGUGCUUUACCAGACCAUUCUCCACCAAUGUCACAGGUUGAUGUCCACUCCAAAUACCACCAUCUCCGCAUCUACGUCUGACGUCACCUAGCAAUGUGUAAUUUUCUUUACACACGUAAUCAGCAAGGGCGCCAUGAGUUGUUCUGUUAUCAACCAACGUGAUUACACCGUUUUCCAAUUCAGGUAGAGGACCGCAAUCGACAACUACAAGCAUUUAAAAUAUGACAAACCUUGAAACCAUGGACAAGAUCACCGCCUCUUGCACGACAGUAAUUUCUGGCCUCUUGAAAAGAAUCACCCUUUUUGACAACGAAUUCAUAGCAGGUGGAAUUGAAAGCAGCCAAAUCUGCGUCAGCUGGCGUUCCGCUGUAAGCGCACCUGUCUGUUGAGAACUCUACGAGAAACCAACAAAUACUUCUACUUCACAUAGACUCAAACUUCCCUCCACACCGACUAGCUGCAGAAACACAUAUUGGCCAACAAGAGCUCUGGCACACAUGAACGUUUUCGUGAUUCCUUCCUCUGAAAGAUCAA